rnacentral:rRNA from 1 species
UCAUUAGUUUUUUAAUUGAAAGCUUGUAUGAAUGGUUUGAUGAGAAAAUAGCUUUCUAUAAUUAAUUUUUAGAAAAAAUUUAUUUUUAAGUUAAAAAGCUUAAAUAUUUUUAAUAGACGAGAAGACCCUAUAGAGUUUUAUUAUAAAUAAUUAUUUAUAAAUUUUAGAAUUUUAAAUUUAAUUUUUUUUUAUAAUUUGAUUGGGGUGAUUAAAAAAUUAAUAUAACUUUUUUUUUAUAAUACCAUUAGUUUAUGAUUAGAUGAUCCAUAUAAAUGAUUAAAAGAUUAAAUUACCUUAGGGAUAACAGCGUUAUUUUUUUUUAGAGUUCAAAUCGAAAAAAGAGAUUGCGACCUCGAUGUUGGAUUAAAGUUAAUAUUUGGUGUAGAAGCUAAAA